GAUGAACGCUGGCGGCGUGCCUAAUACAUGCAAGUCGAGCGCACGGCCGGGAAACUUGCUUCUCUGAUGUUAACGCCGGGCGGGAGGGUCUCUGCUAGAUAACCUUCCUAUAAAACUGGGGUAAAUUCCGUAUACGCGCGCUAGUGCCAGGAAUUAUUUUCGAAGGAAUAGUUCACAAUUGAUAGACUAUCUUGCUGGCACUUAUAGAUGGAUCCGCGCUGCAUUAGCUAGUUGGUAAGGUAACGGCUUACCAAGGCAACGAUGCAUAGCCGACCUGAGAGGGUGAUCGGCCACACUGGAACUGAGACACGGUCCAGACUCCUACGGGAGGCAGCAGUAGGGAAUCUUCCGCAAUGGGCGAAAGCCUGACGGAGCAACGCCGCGUGAGUGAUGAAGGUCUUCGGAUCGUAAAACUCUGUUAUUAGGGAAGAACAUAUGUGUAAGUAACUGUGCACAUCUUGACGGUACCUAAUCAGAAAGCCACGGCUAACUACGUG
rnacentral:rRNA from 1 species